rnacentral:lncRNA from 1 species
AGGCCGUAAUUCGGAUGGAUCUUUGCUCGUGGCACAAGCGCACGGGAAAGGCCUAAAUACUUAUGUGGACUGACCGAGCUGCAUGGGCUCGGGCAGGCCGAAGUGAGCCGCAAGCCCGCAACGGACUUGGACCGUCAAACACGCGAUGGUCCAGAAAAUAUCCCAAAGAAAAAAAAAUUCAAAAGACGAGCAGCAAGAAACACGAAAUUUUUGCUCGGUGGACCCCUCCUGACGGAAAUGUCAGAAAUGGCCUCCCUGC